GCCCGUCUAGCUCAAUCGGUAGAGCACAAGGCUCUUAACAUUCUGGUCUUGGGUUCGAGCCCCAAAAUGGGCA
rfam:Triticum aestivum genome assembly, contig: Triticum_aestivum_CS42_TGACv1_scaffold_195179_3AL